rnacentral:rRNA from 1 species
UCAAGUAAUGAAGUGCACAUGGUGGAUGCCUUGGCAGUCAGAGGCGAUGAAAGACGUGAUAGCCUGCGAUAAGCGUCGGUGAGGUGGCAAUAUCCUGUGACCCGGCGAUUUCUGAAUGGGGAAACCCAACCAACACAAGUUGGUUAUUACACAGUUUACUGUGUAAGGCAAACCGGGAGAAGUGAAACAUCUCAGUACCCCGAGGAAAAGACAUCAAAUGAGAUUCCGUAAGUAGCGGCGAGCGAACACGGAGGAGCCGAUCAAUUUUACAGUAGCAAAAUGGCGUGGGAAAGCCAACCAUAGUAGGUGAUAGUCCUGUAUGCGAAACUGUUUAAGCGACAUAUUAAGUAGGGCGGAACACGAGAAAUUCUGUCUGAAGAUGGGGGGACCAUCCUCCAAGGCUAAAUACUCCUGACUGACCGAUAGUGAACCAGUACCGUGAGGGAAAGGCGAAAAGAACCCCUGUUAGGGGAGUGAAAUAGAACCUGAAACCGUGUGCAUACAAGCAGUCGGAGCGGACUUGUUCCGUGACGGCGUACCUUUUGUAUAAUGGGUCAGCGACUUAUAUUCUGUAGCAAGGUUAACCGAAUAGGGGAGCCGUAGGGAAACCGAGUCUUAAUAGGGCGAAUGAGUUGCAGGGUAUAGACCCGAAACCGAGUGAUCUAUCCAUGAGCAGGUUGAAAGUGCCGUAACAGGCACCGGAGGACCGAACCCACUGUCGUUGAAAAGCCAGGGGAUGACUUGUGGAUAGGGGUGAAAGGCUAAUCAAACUCGGUGAUAGCUGGUUCUCCCCGAAAGCUAUUUAGGUAGCGCCUCGGACGAACACCAUUGGGGGUAGAGCACUGUUUCGGCUAGGGGGUCAUCCCGACUUACCAAACCGAUGCAAACUCCGAAUACCGAUGAGUGAUAUCCGGGAGACAGACGGCGGGUGCUAACGUCCGUCGUCAAGAGGGAAACAACCCAGACCGCCAGCUAAGGCCCCAAAUUCCUAGUUAAGUGGGAAACGAUGUGGGAAGGCACAGACAGCUAGGAGGUUGGCUUAGAAGCAGCCACCCUUUAAAGAAAGCGUAAUAGCUCACUAGUCGAGUCGGCCUGCGCGGAAGAUGUAACGGGGCUCAAACUAGGAGCCGAAGCUGCGGAUUUAAUUGUUUCAAUUAAGUGGUAGGGGAGCGUUGUGUAAGCCUGUGAAGGUGCACUGUAAGGUGUGCUGGAGGUAUCACAAGAGCGAAUGCUGACGUGAGUAACGACAAAACGGGUGAAAAGCCCGUUCGCCGGAAGACCAAGGGUUCCAGUCCAACGUUAAUCGGGGCUGGGUGAGUCGACCCCUAAGGCGAGGCCGAAAGGCGUAGUCGAUGGGAAAUCGGUUAAUAUUCCGAUACUUGUUUAUGAUGCGAUGGAGGGACGGAGAAGGUUAUGCCAGCCUGGCGAUGGUUGUCCAGGUGGAAGGAUGUAGUUAGACUGAGUAGGCAAAUCCGCUCGGUUAUUAAUGAGAUCUGAUAGCAAGCCAGUUUACUGGCGAAGUGGCAAAUACCCUGCUUCCAGGAAAAGCUUCUAAGCGAUAGUCAUAAACGAAUCGUACCCGAAACCGACACAGGUGGUCAGGUAGAGAAUACCAAGGCGCUUGAGAGAACUCUGCUGAAGGAACUAGGCAAAAUGGUACCGUAACUUCGGGAGAAGGUACGCUGCCGAUGGUGAUGAAACUUGCUUUCUGAGCUGUUGGCAGUCGCAGAUACCAGGCUGCUGCAACUGUUUAUUAAAAACACAGCACUCUGCAAACACGAAAGUGGACGUAUAGGGUGUGAUGCCUGCCCGGUGCUGGAAGGUUAAUUGAUGGGGUUAGCGUAAGCGAAGCUCUUGAUCGAAGCCCCAGUAAACGGCGGCCGUAACUAUAACGGUCCUAAGGUAGCGAAAUUCCUUGUCGGGUAAGUUCCGACCUGCACGAAUGGCAUAAUGAUGGCAGCGCUGUCUCCAGCAGAGACUCAGUGAAAUCGAAAUCGCAGUGAAGAUGCUGUGUACCCGCGGCUAGACGGAAAGACCCCGUGAACCUUUACUACAGCUUUACAUUGAACUUUGACCUAACUUGUGUAGGAUAGGUGGGAGGCUUUGAAGCAGAUACGCCAGUAUCUGUGGAGCCAACCUUGAAAUACCACCCUGGUUAUGUUGGGGUUCUAACUUGGAUAUAACAGUAUCAAGGACAAUGUAUGGUGGGUAGUUUGACUGGGGCGGUCUCCUCCUAAAGAGUAACGGAGGAGUACGAAGGUGCGCUCAGAACGGUCGGAAAUCGUUCAAAGAGUAUAAAGGCAAAAGCGCGCUUAACUGCGAGACCCACAAGUCGAGCAGGUACGAAAGUAGGUCUUAGUGAUCCGGUGGUUCUGUAUGGAAGGGCCAUCGCUCAACGGAUAAAAGGUACUCUGGGGAUAACAGGCUGAUACCGCCCAAGAGUUCAUAUCGACGGCGGUGUUUGGCACCUCGAUGUCGGCUCAUCUCAUCCUGGGGCUGAAGCAGGUCCCAAGGGUAUGGCUGUUCGCCAUUUAAAGAGGUACGCGAGCUGGGUUUAGAACGUCGUGAGACAGUUCGGUCCCUAUCUACCGUGGGCGUUGGAAAUUUGAGAGGAUCUGCUCCUAGUACGAGAGGACCAGAGUGGACGAACCUCUGGUGUUUCGGUUGUCACGCCAGUGGCAUUGCCGAGUAGCUACGUUCGGAUGGGAUAACCGCUGAAAGCAUCUAAGCGGGAAGCCCACCUCAAGAUAAGAUUUCCCUAAGAGCCGUUGUAGACUACGACGUUGAUAGGUUGGGUGUGGAAGUGUAGUGAUACAUGUAGCUAACCAAUACUAAUUGCUCGUUUGGCUUGACCAU